ACCGAUAGUGAACCAGUACCGUGAGGGAAAGGCGAAAAGAACCCCGGCGAGGGGAGUGAAAAAGAACCUGAAACCGUGUACGUACAAGCAGUGGGAGCACGCUUAGGCGUGUGACUGCGUACCUUUUGUAUAAUGGGUCAGCGACUUAUAUUCUGUAGCAAGGUUAACCGAAUAGGGGAGCCGAAGGGAAACCGAGUCUUAACUGGGCGUUAAGUUGCAGGGUAUAGACCCGAAACCCGGUGAUCUAGCCAUGGGCAGGUUGAAGGUUGGGUAACACUAACUGGAGGACCGAACCGACUAAUGUUGAAAAAUUAGCGGAUGACUUGUGGCUGGGGGUGAAAGGCCAAUCAAACCGGGAGAUAGCUGGUUCUCCCCGAAAGCUAUUUAGGUAGCGCCUCGUGAAUUCAUCUCCGGGGGUAGAGCACUGUUUCGGCAAGGGGGUCAUCCCGACUUACCAACCCGAUGCAAACUGCGAAUACCGGAGAAUGUUAUCACGGGAGACACACGGCGGGUGCUAACGUCCGUCGUGAAGAGGGAAACAACCCAGACCGCCAGCUAAGGUCCCAAAGUCAUGGUUAAGUGGGAAACGAUGUGGGAAGGCCCAGACAGCCAGGAUGUUGGCUUAGAAGCAGCCAUCAUUUAAAGAAAGCGUAAUAGCUCACUGGUCGAGUCGGCCUGCGCGGAAGAUGUAACGGGGCUAAACCAUGCACCGAAGCUGCGGCAGCGACGCUGAUGCGUUGUUGGGUAGGGGAGCGUUCUGUAAGCCUGCGAAGGUGUGCUGUGAGGCAUGCUGGAGGUAUCAGAAGUGCGAAUGCUGACAUAAGUAACGAUAAAGCGGGUGAAAAGCCCGCUCGCCGGAAGACCAAGGGUUCCUGUCCAACGUUAAUCGGGGCAGGGUGAGUCGACCCCUAAGGCGAGGCCGAAAGGCGUAGUCGAUGGGAAACAGGUUAAUAUUCCUGUACUUGGUGUUACUGCGAAGGGGGGACGGAGAAGGCUAUGUUGGCCGGGCGACGGUUGUCCCGGUUUAAGCGUGUAGGCUGGUUUUCCAGGCAAAUCCGGAAAAUCAAGGCUGAGGCGUGAUGACGAGGCACUGCGGUGCUGAAGCAACAAAUGCCCUGCUUCCAGGAAAAGCCUCUAAGCAUCAGGUAACAUCAAAUCGUACCCCAAACCGACACAGG
rnacentral:rRNA from 1 species